UACGGGGGGAGCAAGCGUUGUUCGGAUUUACUGGGCGUAAAGGGCGCGUAGGCGGCCACCGCAAGUCAGUUGUGAAAUCUCUGGGCUUAACCCAGAAAGGUCAACUGAUACUGCGGGGCUAGAGUGCAGAAGGGGCAACUGGAAUUCUCGGUGUAGCGGUGAAAUGCGUAGAUAUCGAGAGGAACACCUGCGGCGAAGGCGGGUUGCUGGGCUGACACUGACGCUGAAGCGCGAAGGCUAGGGGAGCGAACGGG
rnacentral:rRNA from 1 species